UUGAACGCUGGCGGCAGGCCUAACACAUGCAAGUCGAACGGUAACAGGAAGCAGCUUGCUGUUUCGCUGACGAGUGGCGGACGGGUGAGUAAUGUCUGGGAAACUGCCUGAUGGAGGGGGAUAACUACUGGAAACGGUAGCUAAUACCGCAUAACGUCGCAAGACCAAAGAGGGGGACCUUCGGGCCUCUUGCCAUCGGAUGUGCCCAGAUGGGAUUAGCUAGUAGGUGGGGUAACGGCUCACCUAGGCGACGAUCCCUAGCUGGUCUGAGAGGAUGACCAGCCACACUGGAACUGAGACACGGUCCAGACUCCUACGGGAGGCAGCAGUGGGGAAUAUUGCACAAUGGGCGCAAGCCUGAUGCAGCCAUGCCGCGUGUAUGAAGAAGGCCUUCGGGUUGUAAAGUACUUUCAGCGGGGAGGAAGGGAGUAAAGUUAAUACCUUUGCUCAUUGACGUUACCCGCAGAAGAAGCACCGGCUAACUCCGUGCCAGCAGCCGCGGUAAUACGGAGGGUGCAAGCGUUAAUCGGAAUUACUGGGCGUAAAGCGCACGCAGGCGGUUUGUUAAGUCAGAUGUGAAAUCCCCGGGCUCAACCUGGGAACUGCAUCUGAUACUGGCAAGCUUGAGUCUCGUAGAGGGGGGUAGAAUUCCAGGUGUAGCGGUGAAAUGCGUAGAGAUCUGGAGGAAUACCGGUGGCGAAGGCGGCCCCCUGGACGAAGACUGACGCUCAGGUGCGAAAGCGUGGGGAGCAAACAGGAUUAGAUACCCUGGUAGUCCACGCCGUAAACGAUGUCGACUUGGAGGUUGUGCCCUUGAGGCGUGGCUUCCGGAGCUAACGCGUUAAGUCGACCGCCUGGGGAGUACGGCCGCAAGGUUAAAACUCAAAUGAAUUGACGGGGGCCCGCACAAGCGGUGGAGCAUGUGGUUUAAUUCGAUGCAACGCGAAGAACCUUACCUGGUCUUGACAUCCACGGAAGUUUUCAGAGAUGAGAAUGUGCCUUCGGGAACCGUGAGACAGGUGCUGCAUGGCUGUCGUCAGCUCGUGUUGUGAAAUGUUGGGUUAAGUCCCGCAACGAGCGCAACCCUUAUCCUUUGUUGCCAGCGGUCCGGCCGGGAACUCAAAGGAGACUGCCAGUGAUAAACUGGAGGAAGGUGAGGAUGACGUCAAGUCAUCAUGGCCCUUACGACCAGGGCUACACACGUGCUACAAUGGCGCAUACAAAGAGAAGCGACCUCGCGAGAGCAAGCGGACCUCAUAAAGUGCGUCGUAGUCCGGAUUGGAGUCUGCAACUCGACUCCAUGAAGUCGGAAUCGCUAGUAAUCGUGGAUCAGAAUGCCACGGUGAAUACGUUCCCGGGCCUUGUACACACCGCCCGUCACACCAUGGGAGUGGGUUGCAAAAGAAGUAGGUAGCUUAACCUUCGGGAGGGCGUUUACCACUUUGUGAUUCAUGACUGGGGUG
rnacentral:rRNA from 1 species